AAUAAAGGCGAUGGCUGAAAAUACUAGGAAAAGUAGUGUGACGCCGAUUUUACAGAAUGCAUGAGUUUACUCCAUCUCUUAAUCUGAGAUCUGCUUAUUCAAGUCUGCAAAGCAAUUUUCUCAUCUGGGACAAUAAGGGAUGUAAGUGUUUGAAAUACAUCUUACCUAUUUGAAUUUCUAUACAAUACUUAAAGGCUCAUGACCUUCAACUACCCAGACCCAUCUGUAUAACUCAAAAUCCAUUCUACGGCCUGGAUCACUGGAGCCGUUAAUUACAUGGCCCAUAUGUUAACAACCAAACUCACAGAGCAGAAUGACCGUAAGUGAUGAGUAUUACAGAAUUGUCAAUUACGUAAAGGGUUUUCAAUCGUGAAAAAAAAACUUUCAAAUUCUCAUUUGAUUGUUAAUAUAAGGUUUGGUGCAUAAACAAUGCACAGUUUAAAUGUCAAUACCUAUAGACUUCUGUAUAUCUGCAGAGGAAAAUCUAAACAGAUCUAACAGCCAUAACCUGUGUAAGUAAGAUCUAAUUUUUUUCAUAGUUUUACACCAGAUAUCCUCAAGGUGUUGAGACCUUGAACUGAAUAUGUUUAACCUUUGAUCUUGACUCUGAAGGUCAUGGUUUAUUUACUGAGAGUGUAUAUGACAUCAUACUUAUGAAAAUUAAUCUUCAACUAAUUAAUUUCA